AUGCUGUGAGCUCGAUGAGUAGGGCGGGACACGUGGUAUCCUGUCUGAAUAUGGGGGGACCAUCCUCCAAGGCUAAAUACUCCUGACUGACCGAUAGUGAACCAGUACCGUGAGGGAAAGGCGAAAAGAACCCCGGCGAGGGGAGUGAAAAAGAACCUGAAACCGUGUACGUACAAGCAGUGGGAGCACGCUUAGGCGUGUGACUGCGUACCUUUUGUAUAAUGGGUCAGCGACUUAUAUUCUGUAGCAAGGUUAACCGAAUAGGGGAGCCGAAGGGAAACCGAGUCUUAACUGGGCGUUAAGUUGCAGGGUAUAGACCCGAAACCCGGUGAUCUAGCCAUGGGCAGGUUGAAGGUUGGGUAACACUAACUGGAGGACCGAACCGACUAAUGUUGAAAAAUUAGCGGAUGACUUGUGGCUGGGGGUGAAAGGCCAAUCAAACCGGGAGAUAGCUGGUUCUCCCCGAAAGCUAUUUAGGUAGCGCCUCGUGAAUUCAUCUCCGGGGGUAGAGCACUGUUUCGGCAAGGGGGUCAUCCCGACUUACCAACCCGAUGCAAACUGCGAAUACCGGAGAAUGUUAUCACGGGAGACACACGGCGGGUGCUAACGUCCGUCGUGAAGAGGGAAACAACCCAGACCGCCAGCUAAGGUCCCAAAGUCAUGGUUAAGUGGGAAACGAUGUGGGAAGGCCCAGACAGCCAGGAUGUUGGCUUAGAAGCAGCCAUCAUUUAAAGAAAGCGUAAUAGCUCACUGGUCGAGUCGGCCUGCGCGGAAGAUGUAACGGGGCUAAACCAUGCAC
rnacentral:rRNA from 1 species